CUAGAGCCCAAAGUAAUAUUAAAAGAAACAGGAAGUCACAAGACUUUCCCCAACAAGAGUUUUAGGCUCUUGCCCCACAAGAGUUUUAGACUCUUGCCUAACUACUAAAGCUUAAAGA